UUAGAAGUAGCUUAAUGAAAGCAUAUCUUUGUUACAGAUAAAUUGAAUUUCUCUUCCUUCUAAA
rnacentral:tRNA from 1 species